rnacentral:rRNA from 1 species
AUGUCGCUCAACAUGAAGACGCUGCAGCAGGCGCUGGCCAAGGCGUCGGCGGUGAUCGAGAAGACGGUGACCACCACGGUGCAGGAGGUCACGGGCCCGCGGCCGCUGCAGGACUACGAGCUGCUCGACCAGGCGGGCUCGGGCGGCCCGGGGCUCGCGUGGCGGAUCUACACGGCGCGGCCGCGGGACGCGGCGGCAUCCACGCCGUACCCCGUCGUCUCCGUUUGGGUGCUCGACAAGCGCGCGCUCUCCGAGGCGCGGGCGCGGGCCGGGCUCUCCAGGGCGGCGGAGGACGCGUUCCUCGACCUCGCACGCGCUGACGCCGCGCGCCUCGUGCGGCUGCGUCAUCCGGGUGUGCUCCACGUCGUGCAGGCGCUUGACGAGACCAAGGCCGCCAUGGCCAUGGUCACUGAGCCGCUCUUCGCCUCCGUCUCCAACGCGCUCGGGUGCCUCGACAACGUGGGCAAGGUGCCCAAGGAGCUCAAGGGCAUGGAAAUGGGGAUACUGGAGAUUAAACAUGGAUUGCUACAAGUUGCAGAGACGUUGGAUUUUCUCCAUAACAAUGCCCAUCUUGCACAUCGAGCUAUAUCACCUGAGACGGUCUUUAUAACUUCAAGUGGAUCUUGGAAGCUUGGAGGUUUUGGUUUUGCUCUUUCUGUUGACCAAGCCACAGGUGGUUUGGCAUCAUCGCAGCAAUUCCAUUAUUCGGACUACGAUGUCGAAGACACAGCUUUACCUCUUCAACCAUCUCUGAACUAUACUGCACCAGAAUUGGUUCGCAGUGGUGAUUCUAAAGUAGGCUCUACCUGUGACAUAUUCAGUUUUGGAUGCCUGGCUUACCACUUAGUUGCUCAUAGACCACUUCUGGAUUGCCAUAACAAUGUGAAAAUGUAUAUGAAUUCAUUGACAUAUUUAACAAGUGAAGCCUUUUCUAGUAUUCCUACUGAUCUGGUGGCUGAUUUGCGAAAUAUGCUAUCAGUUGAUGCAGCAUCACGCCCUAGUGCGAUGGCUUUCACAGGCUCUUCUUUCUUCCGGCAUGAUACAAGGUUGCGAGCUCUUCGUUUCCUUGACCAUUUGCUUGAGAGAGAUAAUAUGCAGAAGACAGAAUUUCUGAAAGCAUUAUCGGAUAUGUGGAAAGACUUUGAUUCCCGAGUUCUUCGAUAUAAAGUUCUUCCACCUCUUUGUGCCGAGCUACGCAACAUGGUCAUGCAGCAAAUGAUUUUGCCCAUGGUUCUGACAAUAGCAGAAUCACAGGAUAAAGAUGACUUUGAGCUGUCAACAUUGCCUGCUCUUGUUCCAGUAUUUACUUCAGCAUCAGGUGAAACUCUUCUUUUGCUUGUGAAGCGUGCCGAUCUCAUUAUUAGCAAGGCCACAAACGAACAUUUGAUAUCACAUAUCCUUCCUAUGCUGGUACGGGCUUAUGAUGAUACUGAUCCCCGUCUGCAGGAAGAAGUUUUGCGACGAACAGUAACACUGUCUCGACAACUUGACAUGAAGCUACUGAAACAGUCUGUGCUGCCACGCGUGCAUGGAUUAGCUUUGAAAACUACAGUUGCUGCGGUGCGAGUAAAUGCUUUGCGCUGUUUAGGAGAUCUUGUUCCAUCGUUGGAUAAAACAGGUAUAGUAGAGAUCUUGCAGACUCUUCGGCGUUGCACAGCUGUUGACCAUUCUGCCCCAACCCUUAUGUGCACCCUUGGAGUUGCUAAUGCGAUUUAUAAACAGUGUGGUGUUGAGUUUGCUGCGGAGCAUGUGGUUCCUCUAGUCUUCCCAUUGCUCACGGCACAACAACUGAAUGUACAGCAAUUUGCCAAGUAUAUCCUAUUUGUCAAGGAUAUCACAAGCAAGAUUGAAGAGAAGCGUGGUGUGACAGUUACGGAUAAUGGGCAUACAGAGGUAAAAGUAUCGCCUUCAAUCUCAAAUGGGAUUCAUUCUAAGCCAACUUCAGGAGGCCUGGGACAAACUGGACAAAUGCCAGCUGCAAAGAGCACUUCUUGGGAUGAAGACUGGGGCCCUACUAAGAAAACCAGUGCCCCGCCACUCUCUUUUGAUUCUAGUGCUCAAACAAAGCAACCCUCAAAAGACCCUUUUGAUUUCAGUACCCAAACAAACCAACCCUCAACACUUCCCUUCGAUCUUAGUACUCAAACGAAGCAGCCAUUGACAGUCACUCAGGUUGCAGCGUCUACAAUCCCGUCUGCACAACCACUUCCAUCUCUGCAAUCUCUUGCACCUAGUUCAGGACAUCAAACUUCCGGUUCAUGUGUUCCUGUUGACAUUGAGUGGCCUCCUAGAAUGAGCACAUCAUCUGACUUUAAUGCACCAUUCUCAGCUAACAAGGAUAGUAAAUCUGGAGGGCUGUCUAACGAUGGGGUUGAUGAUGUUGAUCCUUUUGCCGACUGGCCCCCCAAACCAAGCAGUGCAGCCAGCAUUUCAGCAGUGGAGCGCCUGCCAAGCACAAAUCAAAGUAUUUCUGGGUUGAAUACAGGGAACAUGGGGUUUGGUGGUGGCAGUACUUCGCUUGGACAAAUGAAAACAAACCAGGUGAGCUGGUCAGCGAAACCAAACAAUACAAAUAUAAUGGGCAUGAAUUCAACUGCCAGCUAUUUGAACCAAGGCAACUCAUCUCUGGGAUAUGGAAAUCCAAUUGGAGGACCAAGCUCAGGUCUCUCCAAUGCAGCUAGUUCCAUUGCAGGCCAGAGCAUCAGGCAACCAAAAUCUGAUUUUGGUUCACUAUCACAGUUAUCCAGUGGCACACAGGGCCCACCCAGGCUUGCCCCUCCUCCAUCUGCUGCUGUUGGAAGAGGGCGUGGUAGAAAUCAAGGGCAGUCAGCCCUCUCCCGAGCAUCACGGACUCCCAAUUCCAAUGUUUCAUCAGAGCAGCCACCUUUUCUUGAUUUACUGUAG